rnacentral:rRNA from 1 species
AACGAACGCUGGCGGCAUGCCUAACACAUGCAAGUCGAACGAGAUCUUCGGGUCUAGUGGCGCACGGGUGCGUAACGCGUGGGAAUCUGCCCUUUGGUUCGGAAUAACAGUUGGAAACGACUGCUAAUACCGGAUGAUGACGAAAGUCCAAAGAUUUAUCGCCAGAGGAUGAGCCUGCGUAGGAUUAGCUAGUUGGUGUGGUAAGGGCGCACCAAGGCGACGAUCCUUAGCUGGUCUGAGAGGAUGACCAGCCACACUGGGACUGAGACACGGCCCAGACUCCUACGGGAGGCAGCAGUGGGGAAUAUUGGACAAUGGGCGAAAGCCUGAUCCAGCAAUGCCGCGUGAGUGAUGAAGGCCUUAGGGUUGUAAAGCUCUUUUACCCGGGAUGAUAAUGACAGUACCGGGAGAAUAAGCUCCGGCUAACUCCGUGCCAGCCGCCGCAGUAA